ACCGGAAGCUAAGUCGUCUAAUGCCUCGUUUUUUAACUGGAAAAAAAAAAAAUCGUCUGCCAGCAGUCCAGUAAUGCAAGUUCGUGAUAGAACCAAUCAUAACAUGAAAUCUCACCACGAAAUAAUAUUUCUAUGAUCUCACAAAUAAUAAUAAACUUAUAUAGCCCAAAUAUGGGCAAGCUUAGAGCACACGAUUAGUAAGUUAAUGGAAUGACAAGACUGUUUUUCUGAAGAUGACAUCCUGUUCUUAGAUCAAGAUGUCGAUGGGUUAUAGCUGAGACCAGUCUUCAAAGCGAUCACAUAAGUCUGAGGAUAAGACCAGGGCCGCUGAGGACGAUCUCUCCAAGCCCAUUGUAAUUGUAAUAGUAAAUGAUUUUCCAAGUAUAUAAUGUUUACAAUUCGAUUGUCAAUAUCUAUAUUUACCAGCCUUUACCUGCCCAGAUAGGUAGGGUUGGCAAAGGACUAAUUAUGUGUAUAUGGUCCUGCGUGUAGUGCUUUGAUGGACACCAUUCACAGACAUUUCUUGGUUAUACUUAGCAUGUCUGAGCAAGUCGUGCUGCUACAACACACAUACACAAACCUGUAAUAGAUAUUAUUUAUUCUAAUCGUACUCUUCAGUUUGGAAACAAAGCAGAAACUGAUAUUAAGCAACAUGUAAUUUGGGACAAUUUUAGGCUCUCAGGGGUCAGUAAAUAGGAAUUUUCCUGCACUAUCAUACCAGUACUAAAGAUUUUAGGUGCAUACUGAAGAUUUUCUGGCUGAACACCAUCUUGAACGAAAAGCUGUGAGACAGGACAGGAACAUGCACCUUGGCAGAAACAAUUCAACUGUGGCAUUGGCGAUGGCUAGGACACCUCCACACUCAAUCUCCAUUACAGCCCUACAAUGGGCACUGCAGGGAAAGAUGAACAGAGGAAGGCCCAAAGAGACACAGAGGUGGAAAAAUAUUGUGGAGCUUCAAUGGCCUGAAUGCAGAAAGACAAAGAUGUGACAGAGGAAGGAAAAAAUGCUAGAAAAGCAAACCUACCAAAAAGCCUCAACAAGUGAGUUGCACCAUAGAUUGCUGACAUCUGUUGGUCAGGAUGCUCGGCUAAAAUCUGAAAAAUGAUG